rnacentral:rRNA from 1 species
GACGAACGCUGGCGGCGUGCUUAACACAUGCAAGUCGAACGGAAAGGCCCUGCUUUUGUGGGGUGCUCGAGUGGCGAACGGGGGAGUAACACGUGAGUAACCUGCCCUUGACUUUGGGGUAACUUCAGGAAACUGGGGCUAAUACCGGAUAGGAGCUCCUGCUGCAUGGUGGGGGUUGGAAAGUUUCGGCGGUUGGGGAUGGACUCGCGGCUUAUCAGCUUGUUUGUGGGGUAGUGGCUUACCAAGGCUUUGACGGGUAGCCGGCCUGAGAGGGUGACCGGCCACAUUGGGACUGAGAUACGGCCCAGACUCCUACGGGAGGCAGCAGUGGGGAAUAUUGCACAAUGGGCGGAAGCCUGAUGCAGCAACGCCGCGUGCGGGAUGACGGCCUUCGGGUUGUAAACCGCUUUCGCCUGUGACGAAGCGUGAGUGACGGUAAUGGGUAAAGAAGCACCGGCUAACUACGUG